UACAGAGGUCUCAAGCGUUGUUCGGAUUCAUUGGGCGUAAAGGGUGCGUAGGCGGCGCGGUAAGUCGGGUGUGAAAUCUCGGAGCUUAACUCCGAAACUGCAUUCGAUACUGCCGUGCUUGAGGACUGGAGAGGAGACUGGAAUUUACGGUGUAGCGGUGAAAUGCGUAGAUAUCAGGAGGAACACCGGUGGCGAAGGCGGUUCUCUGGGCAUGACCUGACGCUGAGGAGCGAAAGUGUGGGGAGCGAACAGG
rnacentral:rRNA from 1 species